rnacentral:rRNA from 1 species
GACGAAAGUCUGACGGAGCAACGCCGCGUGUAUGAUGAAGGUCUUCGGAUUGUAAAGUACUGUCUUUGGGGAAGAACGGUCAUCUUGAGAAUAUUGAGGUGACAUGACGGUACCCAAGGAGGAAGCCCCGGCUAACUACGUGCCAGCAGCCGCGGUAAUACGUAGGGGGCGAGCGUUGUCCGGAAUUAUUGGGCGUAAAGGGCGCGUAGGCGGAUUUUUAAGUCCGGUGUGAAAGAUCAGGGCUCAACCCUGAGAGUGCAUCGGAAACUGGGGAUCUUGAGGACAGGAGAGGAAAGUGGAAUUCCACGUGUAGCGGUGAAAUGCGUAGAUAUGUGGAGGAACACCGGUGGCGAAGGCGACUUUCUGGACUGUAACUGACGCUGAGGCGCGAAAGCGUGGGGAGCAAACAGGAUUAGAUACCCUGGUAGUCCACGCCGUAAACGAUGAGUGCUAGGUGUAGAGGGUAUCGACCCCUUCUGUGCCGCAGUUAACACAAUAAGCACUCCGCCUGGGGAGUAC